GACGAACGCUGGCGGCGUGCUUAACACAUGCAAGUCGAACGGAAAGGCCCUGCAUUUGUGGGGUGCUCGAGUGGCGAACGGGGGAGUAGCACGCGAGUAACCUGCCCUUGACUUUGGGAUAACUCCAGGAAACUGGGGCUAAUACCGGACAUGAGCUCCUGCUGCACGGUGGGGGUGGGAAAGUUUCGUCGGUUGGGGACGGACUGGGGGCUUAUCAGCUUGUUGGUGGGGUAGUGGGUUACCAAGGCUUUGAGGGGUAGCUGGCUUGGGAGGGUGACCGGCCACAUUGGGUCUGGGAGGCGGCCGAGGCUCCUCCGGGGGGCAGGAGUGGAGAAUGUUGGAGAAUGGGCGGGAGCGUGAUGCAGCAUCGCGGCGUGCGGGACGCCGGCGUUAGGGUAGUAAGCCGGUUUGGGCUGAAAGGACGCGUGGGGGCGGGUACUGGCCAGAGAGACACGGGCUACCUCGGU
rnacentral:rRNA from 1 species